CGUGGGUGAUCUGCCCUGCACUCUGGGAUAAGCUUGGGAAACUGGGUCUAAUACCGGAUAUGACCACAGCAUGCAUGUGUUGUGGUGGAAAGAUUUAUCGGUGCAGGAUGGGCCCGCGGCCUAUCAGCUUGUUGGUGGGGUAAUGGCCUACCAAGGCGACGACGGGUAGCCGACCUGAGAGGGUGACCGGCCACACUGGGACUGAGACACGGCCCAGACUCCUACGGGAGGCAGCAGUGGGGAAUAUUGCACAAUGGGCGGAAGCCUGAUGCAGCGACGCCGCGUGAGGGAUGAAGGCCUUCGGGUUGUAAACCUCUUUCAGCAGGGACGAAGCGUGAGUGACGGUACCUGCAGAAGAAGCACCGGCUAACUACGUGCCAGCAGCCGCGGUAAUACGUAGGGUGCGAGCGUUGUCCGGAAUUACUGGGCGUAAAGAGUUCGUAGGCGGUUUGUCGCGUCGUUUGUGAAAACCCGGGGCUCAACU
rnacentral:rRNA from 1 species